GAUGAACGCUGGCGGCGUGCCUAAUACAUGCAAGUCGAGCGAACAGACGAGGAGCUUGCUCCUCUGACGUUAGCGGCGGACGGGUGAGUAACACGUGGAUAACCUACCUAUCAGACUGGGAUCACUUCGGGAAACCGGCGCUAAUACCGGAUAAUAUCUUGAACCGCAUGGUUCAAUAGUGAAAGACGGUUUUGCUGUCACUUAUAGAUGCAUCUGCGCCGCAUUAGCUAGUAGGUAAGGUAACGGCUUACCACGGCAACGAUGCGUAGCCGACCUGAGAGGGUGAUCGGCCGCAUGGGAACGGAGACACGGUCAAGACGCCUACGGGAGGCAGCAGUAGGGAAUCUGCCGCAAUGGGCGAAAGCCUGGCGGAGCAACGCCGAGUGAGUGAUGGAGGUCUUCGGAGCGUGAAACUCUGUUAUUAGUGAAGAACAAAUGUGGAAGUAACUAUGCACGUAGUGACGGUACCUAAUCAGAAAGCCACGGCUAACUACGUG
rnacentral:rRNA from 1 species